rnacentral:rRNA from 1 species
GAUGAACGCUGGCGGCGUGCCUAACACAUGCAAGUCGAACGGAAAGACGAGGCUCUUGCUCCUCUGACGUGAGCGGCGCGGGGGUGUGAAACAUGUGUAUAACCCACCUAAAUUACUGGGAAAACCUGGGGAAACCGGAGCUAACACCGGCUAACAUCUUGAGCCGGAUGGUUGAAUAGCGAAAGACGGUGUUGCGGUCGAUGAUACGUGGUCUCAGGCCGUAGUAGGUAGUGGGUAAGGUAACGGCUUACCAAGGCAACGAUGCGUAGCCGAACUGAGAGGGUGAUCGGCCACACUGGGACUGAGACACGGCCCAGACUCCUACGGGAGGCAGCAGUAGGGAAUCUUGAGCAAUGGGCGAAAGCCUGACCGAGCAACGCCGAGUGAGUGAUGAAGGUCUUCGGGUCGUAAAGCACUGUUAUUGGGGAAGAAAAAAUGUGGGAGUAUCUCUGCACGUCAUGACGGUACCUAAUCAAAAAGCCACGGCUAACUUCGUG